CUGCGCCUGCGCAGUCAGAUGGCGGAGGCCUAGGCUAAACUAAGGGUUUCGCCCGCGGGAAGCUGGGGCGUCUGGAGACAGGAAGGGAAAUGCGGUAGAGCAGGGCGCGCCUGGGUCCCCGAUCCAGCCCCGAGUGAGCCCGAGGUAUUUUCCUUAUAUGAUCAGGCCUCACGUGGCCGGCGCUGCUGGUCUGGAGCCUGAGAGGAUUAUGAAACCGUGGCAGGGUUUCCUGCUGUUCUGGAACUCGCCCUGUAGACCAGGCGAGCCUCGAACUAUGAGAUCCGCCUAAAUGCUGGCAUUAAAGGCACACUCCUCCACGCACGGCUUUAACCUAAUCAUUUCUCGUGAAAACUUUCAGGAAUACUGAAAUGUGGAAAGAAGUUACAGUAGUGGCAGCCAAGGAGAGCAAGCAAAGGUCCUGGGAGCUGCAAAGGUCCUGGGAGCUGCAGUAGUUUUAUAACAGAUGUAUGCUGGUGAGUUUGUGAUGCCUGCCUAUAAUCGUAGCACCUGAGAGGCUGAGGGAGACAGUAAGUCCAUUCAUGUCAGCACGGACUACAUCCUAAGACCUGUGUCUC